rnacentral:rRNA from 1 species
GUGGGGAAUCUUAGACAAUGGGCGCAAGCCUGAUCUAGCCAUGCCGCGUGAGCGAUGACGGCCUUAGGGUUGUAAAGCUCUUUCAGGGGGGAAGAUAAUGACGGUACCCCCAGAAGAAGCCCCGGCUAACUCCGUGCCAGCAGCCGCGGUAAUACGGAGGGGGCUAGCGUUGUUCGGAAUUACUGGGCGUAAAGCGCACGUAGGCGGACCAGAAAGUCAGGGGUGAAAUCCCGGGGCUCAACCCCGGAACUGCCUUUGAAACUCCUGGUCUUGAGGUCGAGAGAGGUGAGUGGAAUUCCGAGUGUAGAGGUGAAAUUCGUAGAUAUUCGGAGGAACACCAGUGGCGAAGGCGGCUCACUGGCUCGAUACUGACGCUGAGGUGCGAAAGCGUGGGGAGCAAACAGGAUUAGAAACCCUUGUAGUCC